rnacentral:rRNA from 1 species
GACGAACGCUGGCGGCGUGCUUAACACAUGCAAGUCGAACGGUAAGGCCCCUUCGGGGGUACACGAGUGGCGAACGGGUGAGUAACACGUGAGCAACCUGCCCUUGACUCUGGGAUAACAGUUGGAAACAGCUGCUAAUACUGGAUAUUCAUCGUCUCCUUCCUGGGGGGUGGUGGAAAGCUCCGGCGGUCAGGGAUGGGCUCGCGGCCUAUCAGCUUGUUGGUGAGGUAAUGGCUCACCAAGGCUU